ACGAACGCUGGCGGCGUGCUUAACACAUGCAAGUCGCACGGAAAGGCCCAGCUUGCUGGUGCUCGAGUGGCGAACGGGUGAGUAACACGUGGGUGAUCUGCCCCUAACUUCGGGAUAAGCUUGGGAAACUGGGUCUAAUACCGGAUAGGACAAUCGUUUAGUGUCGGUUGUGGAAAGUUUUUUCGGUUAGGGAUGAGCCCGCGGCCUAUCAGCUUGUUGGUGGGGUAAUGGCCUACCAAGGCGUCGACGGGUAGCCGGCCUGAGAGGGUGGACGGCCACAUUGGGACUGAGAUACGGCCCAGACUCCUACGGGAGGCAGCAGUGGGGAAUAUUGCACAAUGGGCGCAAGCCUGAUGCAGCGACGCCGCGUGGGGGAUGACGGCCUUCGGGUUGUAAACCUCUUUCGACAGGGACGAAGCUUUGGUGACGGUACCUGUAUAAGAAGCACCGGCUAACUACGUG
rnacentral:rRNA from 1 species